rnacentral:lncRNA from 1 species
GCUUGCCGAUUUUAUUUUUCAAUCAAGGUUCAGUUCUUCUAUCUCUCUUUAUUUCAAAUGAAUUAAAGUAUGAUUGGUUAUGUGAUUCAUGUUCCUAUGUGUUGGUCUAUGUCUAAAAUGAAUUUGAACUUAAUUUGUUGUUUGAUUCUUGUUCCUUUUGUGCUUGGUGUUCGAUGUUGGCAGUGAUAUUUGAUCACAAAGUGGAAGGGAAUUUUAGUUUGUUUGAUCUAGUUUUACAUUUGAUAAGUAUAAAUCUCAAAAUUGGGAGUAAGAUUUGGACUAAUUUCAUUUAAGUAACAACGUGGGAUUGAGUUGUGUUUUAAAUUAAUGGGUCCAGUAAUAUAAUAUUUAAUUUCUUGCAUCUAUUAGGCUUGAAUUUACUGAGAUUUCCCUAUGGUAUUAGGAGUAUAGAUUAGUUUAGUCUAUUCAUGGGCCAAUAUUAUGCUUGGAUUCAUAGUUCCUUAAUUACUUUCCGAACUCUGUAAUUCUUUUUAUUCUCGUGAUUUUUCUUUGUUGGAAAAGUUUGGAUGCAAAAGUUUGUUCAAUAAAUGGCCAAAAUAGCAUGUGAACAUUUGUAUACCAAGAUUAUUAAGCAAAAAUGAAAGUAGUUAAAAGGGAUAACAUCUUGAUGCUUGAAUUGUAUCGUGGGGGUCUGGUACUGAACAUAGAAAAGAGAAUUGAUAUUAACGUGACAUUUUAUUAUUUUAUUGUUUCUAUUUGAUCACUAGGAGCAUGUUUAGGCCGAUCACACUCGGGUAGGCAAAUUUUAGAUCUCGUCUUUUAUUUCAUUUGAGGUGAGAGGUCAUUCCCUUUAGUUUAUAUUCAGGGGAAUGCCCCGUAGAGUUUGUAUAUAUUAUUGUUAUCCGGGGUAUGCCCCGAAGUGAAUGUAACGGAGGCAGCAACUACACCGUGGAGGAAGUAUAGUGUAGGUUAGCUUAGGAUUUUACUUUUCAUUAUUUUUAUUUUUAUUUUUCUUUUAUUAGGUAGGGACGACCUCGAUCCUCUUCUGUGUUUGUUUUUGUUUGUGUGUUUUCACCUCAAUCUGAGUAUUCUUAAAAGCCGACUUGAUCAUGUAUGCAACCGUACUAGUUAGAGGACUUGGGGAGUGCCUAACACCUUCUCCCCGAGUCAAAUGAACCCCCUUACCUAAAGCUCUGAUGUAGACUUAGUUUUGGAGUCCAAAGUGUUUUAAAGGAAAAUCAUUUCUAAAAAAAAAAACGGUGACCAGGCACACCGAAACAAAUGUCAGGUGGCGACUCUGAGUUAUUUCCUUUUGAACACGAAUUUUUGUCACUUUUCAAUUAAAAACCCUUUUGAGCUUUACAAAAUCCUUUUAUUUAUUUAAGAGGGUUAAGUAAGUUUGAAAAGAAAGAGUGUGACACCUCCGGCCAAACGACCCAUGACGAUUUAACCCCAAUAACCGUUAGAAAUUUGAUAGGACUGAAAUUUAAAGAAGAAUAUAGAAUGCUAAAGAAUCUUGAAAUAUAGUACUACUUUAUAGUCUUAAAAGAGUGAUUGUCCAAUUUCUGGCAAGAGCUGCUUUUACAAUCACUCUUUUAUUUUCACUACAAUAUUACAUAUUAUACAAGAAUAACAACAAUAUAAAUAAUAAUAAAUAGGUUCUUCCAACAACAAUUACUAGUGAAAUUAUAUAAAAUAUGAUCUUAACUUUUGUGAAGCAAAUCCUUUUGUAUACCAACCAAAAGGAUUAUUCUUAGGAGCUUUACUUCCAACAAAACUUAUUCCAAUUCCAAUGCCAACUUGAUGUUUGAAGUUUUUCCCAUUGAGACAAGCAGAAACUUUAGUUGGAAUAUUCUCAAUCUUCUUCUUCUUUUCUUGAGGUGUUAGAAUUGGAGAAGUUUUUAAGGGUGGAAUUGAGGUUUGUUCUUGAAGAGGAAUGUAAAUAGCUCUCAUUAUAUCUUCAAGAAUUGCUGCUUUGGUAUCAAAUAAAUUGCAAGAAUUGAAGAACAUGUGAAACACAUUUAGGCAAGAAAGAUGAAGUAGUUUGCAUGUCUUUGGCAUAUCAUUGAAUCCAUCCAUUAGAACAUUUUCAAGAAAUUCUUUCUUCUUGUUGGCCAAAAUCUCUUUCACAUAUUCAAUUGAAUCAUCAAGUUGUGCCCCUGGAUUUUCAUUCAUGUGAAGUAAUGUGUAGUUCAUUUUCCCUACUUCACAUUCUUUCUGCAUAUGAAUAAAUCAUGCACUUACAAAAGUUAAUACUCAUAUUUCAUAUAGAUUCUUUAUUGUUUAGUGUAAAGGACAACUCAGUGCACUAAGCUCCUGCUAUAUGCGGCGUUCGAGGAAGGGCCGGACCACAAGGGUCUAUUAUAUGCAGCCUUACCUUACAUUUUUGUAGGAGGCUGUUUCCACCGUGACCUCCUGGUCACGGUUGUUUAGUGUGUGUGCGCAUAAUUCAGUUUAAAUAUACACACAAAGAUUGAUGCGACUUUGAAAAAUAAUGCAAAGUAAACAUCAAUUUGAAAGUGGAAGUAAAACCUUGUAAAAACUCCACAAACUCAAAUUUAAACUUAUGUGCUGAUUGAAUUGUGACAAUAAGCCGACACCACUUUUUUAAAAUCAUAUAUGUGUGUCACUGCUUAAAUUUUUACCUCAAAUUGAGACCUAUGUGCAGAUUGAAUUGUGAAAAAUAAGCCGACGCCAACCAAGAGGUUGUGAGUUCGAGUCUCCCCAAGAGCAAGGUGGGAAGUUUUUGGAGGGAAGGAUGUCGGGGUCUAUUUGGAAACAGCCUCUCUACCCCAGGGUAGGGUUAAGGUCUGCGUAUACACUACCCUCCCCAAACCCCACUAAGUGAAAUUAUACUGGAUUGUUAUUGUUGUAAGCCGACAACACUUUUUAAAAAUCAUAUGUGUGUCACUGCCUAAGUUUCUACCUCAAAUUUUGACCUAUGUGCUGACUGAGUUGUGACAAUAAACCGACACCAUUUUUCUAAAAUCA